AUUGAACGCUGGCGGCAGGCUUAACACAUGCAAGUCGAGCGGGGGAGGUUGCUUCGGUAACUGACCUAGCGGCGGACGGGUGAGUAAUGCUUUGGAAUCUGCCUAUUAGUGGGGGACGACAUUCCGAAAGGGAUGCUAAUACCGCAUACGCCCUACGGGGGAAAGCAGGGGAUCUUCGGACCUUGCGCUAGUAGAUGAGCCUAAGUCGGAUUAGCUAGUUGGUGGGGUAAAGGCCUACCAAGGCGACGAUCUGUAGCGGGUCUGAGAGGAUGAUCCGCCACACUGGGACUGAGACACGGCCCAGACUCCUACGGGAGGCAGCAGUGGGGAAUAUUGGACAAUGGGCGGAAGCCUGAUCCAGCCAUGCCGCGUGUGUGAAGAAGGCCUUUUGGUUGUAAAGCACUUUAAGCGAGGAGGAGGCUCUUAAGGUUAAUACCCUUGAUGAGUGGACGUUACUCGCAGAAUAAGCACCGGCUAACUCUGUGCCAGCAGCCGCCGCCGUAA
rnacentral:rRNA from 1 species